UACGUAGGGUGCAAGCGUUAAUCGGAAUUACUGGGCGUAAAGCGUGCGCAGGCGGUGAUGUAAGACAGAUGUGAAAUCCCCGGGCUCAACCUGGGAACUGCAUUGGUGACUGGCAGGCUUUGAGUGUGGCAGAGGGAGGUAGAAUUCCACGUGUAGCAGUGAAAUGCGUAGAGAUGUGGAGGAAUACCGAUGGCGAAGGCAGCCUCCUGGGCCAACACUGACGCUCAUGCACGAAAGCGUGGGGAGCAAACAG
rnacentral:rRNA from 1 species